AUUGAACGCUUGCGGCAGGCCUAACACAUGCAAGUCGAACGAGUGGCGGACGGGUGAGUAAUGUCUGGUAAACUGCCUGAUGGAGGGGGAUAACUACUGGAAACGGUAGCUAAUACCGCAUACCAUCGGAUUUGCCCAGAUGGGAUUAGCUAGUAGGUGGGGUAAAGGCUCCCCUAGGCGACGAUCCCUAGCUGGUCUGAGAGGAUGACCAGCCAGACGGGAACUGAGACACGGUCCAGACUCCUACGGGAGGCAGCAGUGGGGAAUAUUGCACAAUGGGCGCGAGCCUGAUGCAGCCAUGCCGCGUGUAUGAAGAAGGCCUUCGGGUUGUAAAGUACUUUCAGCGGGGAGGCGUUACCCGCAGAAGAAGCAACGGCUAACUCCGUGCCAGCCGCCGCGGUAAUUC
rnacentral:rRNA from 1 species